AGAUUAAGUUAUUAAGGGCGCACGGUGGAUGCCUUGGCGCUAGAAGCCGAUGAAGGACGUUACUAACGACGAUAUGCUUUGGGGAGCUGUAAGUAAGCUUUGAUCCAGAGAUUUCCGAAUGGGGAAACCCAGCAUGAGUUAUGUCAUGUUAUCGAUAUGUGAAUACAUAGCAUAUCAGAAGGCACACCCGGAGAACUGAAACAUCUUAGUACCCGGAGGAAGAGAAAGAAAAUUCGAUUCCCUUAGUAGCGGCGAGCGAAACGGGAAGAGCCCAAACCAAAAAGCUUGCUUGUUGGGGUUGUAGGACACUCUAUACGGAGUUACAAAGGACGACAUUAGACGAAUCAUCUGGAAAGAUGAAUCAAAGAAGGUAAUAAUCCUGUAGUCGAAAAUGUUGUCUCUCUUGAGUGGAUCCUGAGUACGACGGAGCACGUGAAAUUCCGUCGGAAUCUGGGAGGACCAUCUCCUAAGGCUAAAUACUCUCUAGUGACCGAUAGUGAACCAGUACCG
rnacentral:rRNA from 1 species